rnacentral:sRNA from 1 species
UUGAUCAAAUUUGAUAACGAUUGAAAUGC